AUUGAACGCUGGCGGCACGCCUAACACAUGCAAGUCGAGCGGUAACAUGCUUAGUAGCAAUACUAAGUGAUGACGAGCGGCGGACGGGUGAGGAACACGUAGGAACCUGCCCAAAAGUGGGGGAUAACUAAGGGAAACUUUAGCUAAUACCGCAUAAUUCUCUGAGGAGAAAAGUUGCCCGUAAGGGUAGCGCUUUUGGAGGGGCCUGCGUCCGAUUAGUUAGUUGGUGAGGUAAUGGCUCACCAAGACUGUGAUCGGUAACUGGUCUGAGAGGACGAACAGUCACCCGGGGACUGAGACACGGCCCAGACUCCUACGGGAGGCAGCAGUGGGGAAUCUUGGACAAUGGGGGCAACCCUGAUCCAACGAUGCCGCGUGGGUGAAGAAGGCCUUCGGGUUGUAAAGCCCUUUAGGCUGGGAAGAAGAGUGUGGGAUGAAUAAUCCUGUACUUUGACGGUACCAGCAGAAUAAGCACCGGCAAACUCUGUGCCAGCCGCCGCCGUAA
rnacentral:rRNA from 1 species